rnacentral:lncRNA from 1 species
AAAUUUCACAUCCUAGUUUUUUUUAUUAUUAUUUUGAGAAAGAUACCCCGAUCUGUAGGGAGCAAACUACGUGACAAUUUUUUGUGAACAUCAUUCUACCAUGAAAUCACUAAGUGGAUGAAGAUGAUUGCUUUUCUCGCUUGAGAUUCCUGAUCUUCCGAAGGUGACUUCAGGAGGAAGAGACAACCAUAUUGACUUGGCAAAAUUCAGCUUCAAUCCAAAUAAACAAGAGUUAUUAUUGAAGAUGCCUGUUGGAGGCAUGCCAUGAAGCCCUUCGGCCGGACCUGCCAAAACCAUAGUACCAGCAAGGAUUCAAGCCAAAGCCGUCAAGACCACUUGGGCGAAGCCCUAUGGCGAAAGCCAUAAACGAAGGUGGCGAAGAUUGUAAAGCCGUCAAGACCACUUGGGCGAAGCCCUAUGGCGAAAACCAUAAGCGAAGGUGGUGAAGACUGUAAAGCCGUCAAGAUCACUUGGGCGAAGCCCUAUGGCGAAAGCCAUAAGCGAAGAUGGCGAAGGCUAGAAAGCCGCGUUGGUACCCUGCAAGUAAAGGCUUCUCGGGCGAAGGCAUCUCGGGCGAAGAGCGUAUGGCGAACCACAAAGACUUCGCCAUGACGAGUUAACCAUCAAGGAGGCCCAACAGGCUGCCCCCGACCUUUAAGGCCCCUUCGCCAUAGACCAGGCCUAGCCUAUCGGCCCAUUAAAGGCCCAUAUAUGCAAAUGACACUGUGUAUCCAUUUAAAUACCCCUUUUAUAAGGGCAACCAUGUAAAAUCCCCUGUAAACCUAAAUCCUAGAAGGUGUAAGCCUGUGCUAAGGCUAUAAAUAGACCCCAGGGCCAUGUAAUGGGGGAUCCCUAAAAAUUUUAUCAAUCAAUACAUUUAUUGCUUUUCCAACACUGUUGAGUAACCACGUCCUUCGACGUGACGCAGUUGUCCAUUUGACAACAGCUGGCGCCGUCCGUGGGGAACCCAGACCAAAAGGGUGAAAAGGGAGCCUUUUCGCCACACCAUGCCCUUCGCCACAAUACCAAAAAGGUACGGCGUCAAGGGCUGGGGGCGAAAAGGUUUCGCCACACCCAAGCCCUUCGCCAAAAUACCAAUGAGGUACGGCGUCAAGGGCUAGGGGCGAAAAGGUUUCACCAGACUCAUGCCCUUCGCCAUAGUGCCAAUAAGGUACGACGUCAAGGGCUGGGGGCGAAAAUUAGUUAAAUCCAAGCUGGGGGGCUUCGAAGCCAACCUAGCCUCUGGACACCUUUCUUCACACCCACACCCUUCGCCACAGUACCAAUAAGGUACGGCAUCAAAGGCUGGGGGCGAAAAUUAGUUAAGUCCAAGCUGGGGGGGGGGCCUUCGAAGCCAACCUAGCCUCUGGACACCUUUCGCCACACCCACACCCUUCAUCACAGUACCAAUAAGGUACGGCGUCAAGGGCUGGGGACGAAAAUUAGUUAAGUCCAAGCUGGGGGGCUUCGAAGCCAACCUAGCCUCUGGACACCUUUCGCCACACCCACACCCUUCGCCAUAGUACCAAUAAGGUACGGCGUCAAGGGAUGGGGGUGAAAAUUAGUUAAGUCCAAGCUAGGGGGCUUCGAAGCCAACCUAGCCUCUGGACACCUUUCGCCACACCCACACCCUUCGCCACAGUACCAAUAAGGUACAGCGUCAAAGGCUGGGGGCGAAAAUUAGUUGAGUCCAAGCUAGGGGGGGGGGGGGGCUUCGAAGCCAACCUAGGCUCUGGACACCUUUCGCCCCACCCACGCCCUUCGCCAUAAUACCAAUAAGCUACGGCGUCAAGGGCUGUGGGCGAAGAGACCUUUCGCCACACCCAGGCCCUUCGCCACAAUACCAAUAAGGUAUGGCGUUAAGGGCUGGGGGCGAAAAUGAGUUAAGUCCAGAGGUGAAAAUGGGGGCCGCGAAGCCAACCAAGCCUCUGGACACCUUUCGCCACACCCAAGCCCUUCGCCAAAAUACCAAUAAGGUACGGCGUCAAGGGCUGGGGGCGAAAAGGUUUCGCCACACCCAGGCCAUUCGCCACAAUACCAAUGAGUUACGGCGCCAAGGGCUGGGGGCAAAUAGGUUUCGCCACAGCCAGGCCCUUCGCCACAGUACCAAUAAGGUACGGCGUCAAGGGCUGGGGGCGAAUAACUUUCGCCACACCCACACCCUUCGCCACAGUACCAAUAAGGUACGGCGUCAAGGGCUGGGGGCGAAAAUGAGUUAAGUCCAGAGGUGAAAAUAGGGGCCGCGAAGCCAACCAAGCCUCUGGACACCUUUCGCCACCCCCAAGCCCUUCGCCACAGUACUAAUAAGGUACGGCGUCAAGGGCUGGGGGCGAAUAGGUUUCGCCACAAUAACAAUAAGGUACAUCGUCAAGGGCUGGGGGCGAAAAUGAGUUAAGUCCAGAGGUGAAAACGGGGGCGCAAAGCCAACCAAGCCUCUGGACACCUUUCGCCACCCCCAAGCCCUUCGCCACAAGCCCUUUGCCACAAUACCAAUAAGGUACGGCAUCAAGGGCUGGGGGCGAAAAUGAGUUAAGUCCAGAGGUGAAAAUGGGGGCCGCGAAGCCAACCUAACCUCUGGACACCUUUCGCCACACCCACACCCUUCGCCACAGUACCAAUAAGGUACGGCGUCAAGGGCUGGGUGCGAAAAUGAGUUAAGUCCAGAGGUGAAAAUGGGGGCCGCGAAGCCAACCAAGCCUCUGGACACCUUUCACCACCCCCAAGCCCUUCGCCACAAUACCAAUAAGGUACGGCGUCAAGGGCUGGGGGCGAAUAGGUUUCGCCACACCCAGGCCCUUCGCCACAAUACCAAUGAGGUACGGCGUCAAGGGCUGGGGGCUAAUUCGCCAAGGGUAAUCUUCGCUGGAGGCAAACGAAGAAAGCCGGCAACGGUUAAAAAGGUCGAAGUACCUAAAAGGACCGAAGGCCGGUAACGGUUAAAAAGGUCGAAGUGCAAAAAGACCGAAUGCCGGCAACGGUCAAAACGAUCAAAGUACCUAAAAAUACCUUUACCAAAGGCAAAAAGGGGAAGUACGAGCCGAACAGCCGUAACACGCACCACACCACAUUUAUUUGCCAAAAAAGCACAAGUUACAGAUAAAUUCCAUUGCCCGCCAAAAGACAUUCGGACUUUAGAUCCGAUUCAUCAGCAAAAGCUGUCCUCAAUGGCGAAGGACUACCCCUUGAGCAUCUUCUUCAUUGCUAGUUGUUAGAUCAACAAAAAUUUUUAAGCAGUGAAGAAGGAAAAACGGGGACUAUGCUAUAUCGACGUUGGGCAAUGGCAAACUGGCGCUCGGACAUAUAAAAAUUCAUGGGUGUCUUCGCCUUUUUUGUGUAUGAUAUUUCGUGGAAAAACCCCAAGGCAAACGUUUGAUCAACGAAAACGCCAGGGGGUGCGAUACGAACCGGCCGAAGCACUGCUCGCCGAACGUUGAAACCGUGACAGCUCGUUUUCGGAAAACAUACCGAUCGUCGCUAUACUCGACUUAUGCAAAUACUUAAGCGUUUCUGGACGCGUAUGCCAAAAGUCGAGAGCGAAUGAUGAGGGCUGAAAAAUCGACAAAUCUUUUCGCUAAAUUACGCAAAGGGGCCGACAUGUUUCGACCUAACGAAAGCACGAAAGUGACUAUGCGAACAUUAGCAAAAAGAAAUUUGAAACACACAUAAGCUCCAUCAGGCGAAAGCACAUACUUUAAAAAAAAAGAAGAAAAGAAGCUACAGCUUCGCCAUAAAAAGGCGAAAACGAAUCGGCCAAAGCAUCGCUCGCCGAACGUUGAAACCACGACAGCUAGUUUCGGAAUAAAGAUACCGAACGCCGUUACAUUCGACUUACGCAAAACACAAGCGUUUUUCCUAGCGCAAAAUGCUACGAGUCAAAAACGGAAGUCAAAAGCUGAAAAGUCAACAAAUCUUUUCGUCAAUCCCCAAAUGGGGGCCGAACGCAUGAGUCUCGGCGAAAUCCCCGCUAAAGCAAUAGGGAAAAGGGGAAGGAAAAAAUACAAGUCAAGAAUCAUGCAAAGCAGACAAACUUGGCAAAAUAUAAUCAACCAGUGUCAUAAUACAGCUUCGCCAUUCUCGAAAGGCGAACGCCAGUGUUCAUAUUUUUUCUGCAGGAGUCUAAAAAGAGGUUUCGGCAGGAACAUCGGCCGAAAGGGGACGCCUCAUGCCAUACCGUAUAGUUUGCACGGUCCCGGCCAAAGCUCCUUACUCACCCUUGCCCGUGAGGGGCUUGUUGGAGGCAUGCCAUGAAGCCCUUCGGCCGGACCUGCCGAAACCAUAGUACCAGCAAGGAUUCAAGCCAAAGCCGUCAAGACCACUUGGGCGAAGCCCUAUGGCGAAAGCCAUAAGCGAAGGUGGCGAAGACUGUAAAGCCGUCAAGAUCACUUGGGUGAAGCCCUAUGGCGAAAGCCAUAAGCGAAGAUGGCGAAGGCUGGAAAGCCGCGUCGGUACCCUGCAAGUAAAGGCUUCUCGGGCAAAGGCAUCUCGGGCGAAGGGCAUAUGGCGAACCACAAAGACUUCGCCAUGACGAGUUCGGCAUCAAGGAGGCCCAACAGGCCGCCCCCGACCUUUAAGGCCCCUUCGCCAUAGACCAGGCCUAGCCUAUCGGCCCAUUAAAGGCCCAUAUAUGCAAAUGACACUGCGUACCCAUUUAAAUAUCCCUUUUAUAAGGGCAACCAUGUAAAAUCCCCUAUAAACCUAAAUCCUAGAAGGUGUAAGCCUGUGCUAAGGCUAUAAAUAGACCCCCAGGGCCAUGUAAUGGGGGAUCCCCAAAAAUUUUAUCAAUCAAUACAUUUAUUGCUUUUCCAACACUGUUGAGUAACCACGUCCUUCGACGUGACGCAGUUGUCCAUUCGACAACAAUGCCAAUUAUUUAGUAGGGCGAGUUUUGGAAUCAAACCAAAACAUGGCUGUGGUAUGUAGAAUUUAUGAAGAUCAGGAUGGUGUGUACUUUGGUGGUAUAGUAUGUGUCUAAUAUAUGAUUGGUUGUGUUUUUGUUGUAGGUAGGAUUUAUGAAAAUGAUGUUUGGUUUUUUGAAUCAGAGAUUUUUUUUACUUAUGCAUGCGAUGUUGACAGCGCACGUGUGAAACCAAAUAAAUGGUAGAGAUACUAGUAUGUUUGCAUGACCUUUUGUAUUGAUUAAUACAUCCUGGCAUCCUUUACUUCAACUUAUUGUCUAUAAUACUCCCUAUAUUAUAAAAUAUGCAGUGACAUUAACAUGGUCGGUGGUCUCCUAGUGUACAUGGUUUACCAAUGUUUUCUCUAGUCAUAUAUUUAUAAAAAUAUUAAAAUAAUAACUGUACAUGAAAAUGUUUUCGAGUAAAUCUAUUAAUAUCAUUUUUAUAUAUCGAAUCUUUUUUUUGUAUUAAAUAUUUUUGUGAUAUUUUUUUAGAAACACAGUAUAAAUGUAGGCGCUCACAAUGCGCGCAAACUCAACCCUACGAACAUACA